rnacentral:rRNA from 1 species
UGCAGUCGAGCGGAUGAGAGGAGCUUGCUCCUUGAUUUAGCGGCGGACGGGUGAGUAAUGCCUAGGAAUCUGCCUGGUAGUGGGGGAUAACGUCCGGAAACGGGCGCUAAUACCGCAUACGUCCUACGGGAGAAAGCAGGGGACCUUCGGGCCUUGCGCUAUCAGAUGAGCCUAGGUCGGAUUAGCUUGUUGGUGAGGUAAUGGCUCACCAAGGCGACGAUCCGUAACUGGUCUGAGAGGAUGAUCAGUCACACUGGAACUGAGACACGGUCCAGACUCCUACGGGAGGCAGCAGUGGGGAAUAUUGGACAAUGGGCGAAAGCCUGAUCCAGCCAUGCCGCGUGUGUGAAGAAGGUCUUCGGAUUGUAAAGCACUUUAAGUUGGGAGGAAGGGC